ensembl:lncRNA
UGUCUGUGAUUGUUUUCGUGAUUUUUGGCCAUUUCAGAUGUACAAUUCGUGCGGUCUCCUUUUCCUUUCAUUUGGAUUUACCAUGCUGGAGUUCAUCACCUGUGACAGCGAUGGAUCUUUAUUGGCGGGUGAAUGUCAAAGAAUGGAUAUCAAUCAUGGUAAACCAGCACAAAACGGUGAAGCCCCCUUCAAGAUCGAACCAGAAUAUAAAGAAGUGACAGAUUCUGAACUGGGAAAGAACAUUAUUGUCUCGCUUAGGGCUUCGGCUCAAUUUAAAGGUUUCAUGUUGGACGCUCGUAAGUGUGAUGAGUGUGCGUCUGCUGGCAGGUUUCAUUUAAUCCAGACUGAACCGAACAACAGCAUACUCAUCUGUGAUGACCGUGUUGUGGCUCAAAGUAAUAACCAAAGAAAAACGAUAGUUAAUGUGUUGUGGAUCCCCGAAGAGACUGGAGUGUUUUUCUUCAGAGCUGCUUUCGUUGAAGAUUUCAGUAUUUUUUGGCUAAGGAAGCCGAUCAUACUCACGACGACUGCAUCACCCACCACUGAAUCCACCAGUCACAGUACACAAACAAGUCCAACAGGUAAGAAUAUAUAUGUUCCACAGUUUGUUACGCCAUUGUGGCCUAAAAGUUUAUGUGUAGUAAAUUCUGUGUUGAAUCAAAUCAAAUAAUUCUUCCUAAAGCUACUUUUUGUGAUGUCUGUUUGAUGUUUUUCUUAUUCAACACAAUAAUGGGUUUAAAUGACCCUUUGAGGGUAAUUUCUUUUUUGAUGUGCAGUUAAUUUGUGAUUAAUUAGAUUAAUUAAUCGCCACAUUGUGUAAUUAAACAGAUUAAAAUGGAAAAGAAAUAUCCUCCCUUUCAACUGUUUUAAUUUCCAGCAAUUUCUUUAACCUGUAAAUAUUAAAAUAAAAAUUAAAAUAUAAAGUUAAACA